AUUGAACGCUGGCGGCAUGCCUUACACAUGCAAGUCGAACGGCAGCACGGGUGCUUGCACCUGGUGGCGAGUGGCGAACGGGUGAGUAAUAUAUCGGAACGUACCUUAUUGUGGGGGAUAACGCAGCGAAAGCUGUGCUAAUACCGCAUAAUCCCUAAGGGGGAAAGCGGGGGACCGUAAGGCCUCGCGCAAUUAGAGCGGCCGAUACCUGAUUAGCUAGUUGGUGAGGUAAAGGCUCACCAAGGCAACGAUCAGUAGCUGGUCUGAGAGGACGAUCAGCCACACUGGGACGGAGACACGGCCCAGACUCCUACGGGAGGCAGCAGUGGGGAAUUUUGGACAAUGGGGGCAACCCUGAUCCAGCAAUGCCGCGUGAGUGAAGAAGGCCUUCGGGUUGUAAAGCUCUUUUGUCAGGGAAGAAUCAGCAGCUCUAACACAGUAUGCGAAUGACGGUACCUGAAGAAUAAGCACCGGCUAACUACGUGCCAGCAGCCGCAGUAA
rnacentral:rRNA from 1 species